rnacentral:lncRNA from 1 species
UCUCAAAAUCACAAUGUUAAAAAAAAAUACAACUUUUGUAAUAACACUGAAAUUCAGUCUGUUGAUCUUCUUAUAACAAGUAUAGCUAACUAAUGAGGACAUGAAAUCACUAACACAGUUGUUGUCUGCUUACGUAAGUAAAACAGCUGCACAAGCUGUGAAAAGUCCAGAGAAAGCACGUAAAAUGAUCCAUCACACAAAGUCCACCAUUCUUUCCCAAAUCCUUGUUACAGAAAACCAACCAACAAACAAACAAAUCAACAACUCAUUCUCUAGAAGUACAGGGUGGGACAUGGCAAAUAAAGAAAAUAAGCUGGCUUGUGCAGGCCACCUGCCUGAAAUAUGAGGUCAUGAUUGUCAAACACAUUUGGUCAACUCCAGUAACUUCAGUUCUUCACAAAGAGAAAACCAGUCAUUAAACCAUAGUGGAGACUUUUUGUUUUUAUUAUUUUUGUUUUUAUUAUGUUUUGUUUUGUUUUGUUUAGACUGUGCCGCAAUGGCACAAGAUCUGUUCAGGAGGAAUGUGACAUUAAAUGCAGCUUUGACUUUCUGGAGGAAGGGAGGUAUAAAUGAACCUAUUUGGUAAGGAGAGAUAAUUUUAGAGUUAUGGUGGAUUGCCUGCCUAUGCUCUCUAAUCACUGACAGGAAAAAAAAAACAGUACAUCUCACUCAGCUGCUGUGAAUACUUGGUGCCUUAGUAUAGUCAUCUCUUAAAAGCAAAUUUGAAGAAUAUGGAAUAGUUGGUGAU